UCCCUCUUCAGUCGCUGGGGUGCAAGGC
rnacentral:sRNA from 1 species